UUGCGGUCUGAAGAGAUAUCGCGAGAUUACACGAGACUAUAAGAUAGCAAACACUACUAGCCUGGAGCGGAUCUGAGUUGCCAUGGAAACGGAGAAACGUCGAGCAUCAAGACUCCAUCUCGCUGUUGUUUUCACUGAUUUUAGGGUCGACAGAAAACCCCCUCUACAACAAAGGAGAAGCUGACAGAGGAGGAGGAAACACAGAUCCUUCCAUGCGGAUGGACUCCUGCAUCCCAGCAGAGCUGAGUGACCUCCUGUCAAAGGCCAUGAACCAGAUGAACCUCAAUCAUUCAGCACACUACUGUUGAAAAGUUGUGGGUCUGUAAGAUUUUUACAUGUUUUUGAAAGAAGUCUCACAUUUUAAAAUCAUUAACCCCGGGUUGUUUUAGUGAGAUUGUCCUUGAAAGGCCUGUAGGCUAAAUAAUCAUCUAAAUGAGGUAACAUAGGUGACAAUUAUAAUGUUAUAAUGCUUGUAGUUAUAAUCAUUUAACUAUUAUAAUAACAGGAUAUCAUGGUCAUUAAUCUAUUUUAUUGUAUUUCUCUAUGUCUGUUUGUAGUUAUGUUUGCCAGUGAACAGACACCAUACUAUUCCACUAAAAUUUAUUUAUUUAUUUGUUUGUACACAUGUAUGUAUUUUUAUUUUUAUUUUUAUUUUUAACUUAAAUACUUUUUACUUAUAAAGGCUGACUGUGGUUCAGGGGGGUCGACAACUUUAAGCAUGCAAGCUAUUUUCGACAGAAAUUUGGCCAGCUUACUCAUUGCUCAUACUCUGUGCCUCUAAUAUGUUUGAAUUAUAUCACCAGGGUAAAGAUAUCGUUAGAGUUCUUACAGUUAUGUUUACUUUUGUUACCAGAUGAGAUGUAAUCUCUAGCGUUUGGUGCUGAGAUUCUUCAGGACAACGCCUUGAUGCCAUUCACACUCAGUACAUGAAGAAGAUUCACCAAACAUCUGGCUGAUUACUGGCAAUUUGCAGUAAUGACAGUGGACAAGUGAAGAGAGUGGAGGGGAGGGCAUCAGAAAGGACCUUGAGCUGCUGCGACUGUCUUGGAUAACCCAAAGCACAACUACACUAUGUGUCCAAGUACUGAACAAGGCUUUUCUCCUUACAUAUUAUAUGUAUUUAAUUUAAGGCAGGGUUUUUUUUUUUUCCUGCAUAGUGAAUUACUAGGUGGCUCCCUGUCAAAUUUGAUGCUGUCUCCAGCUAUUAACAAAACUCAGACAGGCAGUCACAUGGUCCGAUUCCCCUUUUCCACCAACACGGUUCUGUUGCAGGAUCCUGGCCUGUGUCCAUUCUCAAACUGUUCCACGCACCUCCACUGCACAAAAGGCAGUUCCAGGACAGAAAUAUCGGUACCCUCACUCUUCACCAGUCAUCACAUUCACAACCACCACAGUCAACGAAGUCAAGGUCCCUGGUCCACAGCAUCAACCAUCUUUGUAGGAAGAUCAAUACUGCAUUUCUUGAUGUAUCUUUAAAAUUGACAGAUUUCUUAUGGAGUGCAAUCCCUCUCUAGAUGAACUGAGGCCUAUCGAUCUUACAAAAUACUGUCAGACACUGCAUAUGAUGUUCUCAAAAUAAUAAAUAAAUUAAUAAAAUACUUAAGAAUUU